GACGAACGCUGGCGGCGUGCUUAACACAUGCAAGUCGAGCGGUAAGGCCCUUCGGGGUACACGAGCGGCGAACGGGUGAGUAACACGUGGGUGAUCUACCCUGUACUUCGGGAUAAGCCUGGGAAACUGGGUCUAAUACCGGAUAUGACCUUCCGAUGCAUGUCGGUGGGUGGAAAGAUUUAUCGGUACAGGAUGGGCCCGCGGCCUAUCAGCUUGUUGGUGGGGUAAUGGCCUACCAAGGCGACGACGGGUAGCCGGCCUGAGAGGGCGACCGGCCACACUGGGACUGAGACACGGCCCAGACUCCUACGGGAGGCAGCAGUGGGGAAUAUUGCACAAUGGGCGAAAGCCUGAUGCAGCGACGCCGCGUGAGGGAUGACGGCCUUCGGGUUGUAAACCUCUUUCGACAGGGACGAAGCGCAAGUGACGGUACCUGUAGAAGAAGCACCGGCCAACUACGUGCCAGCAGCCGCGGUAAUACGUAGGGUGCGAGCGUUGUCCGGAAUUACUGGGCGUAAAGAGCUUGUAGGCGGUUUGUCGCGUCGUCCGUGAAAACUUGGGGCUCAACCCCAAGCUUGCGGGCGAUACGGGCAGACUUGAGUACUGCAGGGGAGACUGGAAUUCCUGGUGUAGCGGUGAAAUGCGCAGAUAUCAGGAGGAACACCGGUGGCGAAGGCGGGUCUCUGGGCAGUAACUGACGCUGAGAAGCGAAAGCGUGGGUAGCGAACAGGAUUAGAUACCCUGGUAGUCCACGCCGUAAACGGUGGGCGCUWRGGKKGKGGGUUUCCUUCCACGGGAUCCGUGCCGUAGCUAACGCAUUAAGCGCCCCGCCUGGGG
rnacentral:rRNA from 1 species